rnacentral:rRNA from 1 species
GACGAACGCUGGCGGCGUGCUUAAUACAUGCAAGUCAAACGACUUUUAGAGUAGCAAUAUUUUAAAAGGAGUGGCGCACGGGUGAGUAACACGUAGGUAAUCUGCCUUCAGGACUGACACAAACUCGUCGAAAGACGGGCUAAUAUCAGAUAAUGCAGCGGCUCCGCAUGGAGACAAGUUUGUUAAAAGUACAAGCGCCUGAAGAUGAGCCUGCGGUCCAUUAGCUAGUUGGUAGAGUAACAGCCUACCAAGGCAACGAUGGAUAGCUGGUCUGAGAGGAUGAUCAGCCACACUGGAACUGAGACACGGUCCAGACUCCUACGGGAGGCAGCAGUAAGGAAUAUUGCUCAAUGGCCGAAAGGCUGAAGCAGCAACGCCGCGUGAAGGAUGAAU